rnacentral:rRNA from 1 species
CUGCUAAAUAGCCAGGUUGACUUUUGUCGGCCGCCGGCUUCUUAGAGGGACUUUUGGCUCAAGCCAAUGGAAGUACGAGGCAAUAACAGGUUAACCUUGAGUUACAACUCAUCACAGGCCUGUAACAGUGAACCUCGUUAAAAAAAAUCACUAGUUGAGUACCUUCAUCUCUCUAGGUGGAAGUCCACCGAACUGUCGGGUAGAGAGAACUCCUUCGGGGGUGUGGUGCCAGCGAGACAACCUGGUUCAGGNNNNNNNNNNUAAGGUACGUGCUAAACCCCUCGGAAACGAGGCCUCCGCGAAAAGGUCCGACAGGCCGAAGCGCGGUGGGAGUGAUAGGGAGGACCUCUUUAGGAGGUUUUACGCCUAUUGCUUGGUCGUAUGGGGAACUGCCCCCAUACUAAAUUGCUGUGAUGCCCUUAGAUGUUCUGGGCCGCACGCGCGCUACACUGACAGAGCCAGCGAGUACAUCACCUUGGCCGAAAGGUCUGGGUAAUCUUGUGAAACUCU